rnacentral:tRNA from 1 species
GCCCGGGUGGUGGAAUUGGUAGACACGCAGCACUCAAAAUGCUGUGAGGGUAACUUCGUGCGAGUUCGAGUCUCGCCUCGGGCACCU